rnacentral:rRNA from 1 species
UACGAAGGGGGCUAGCGUUGCUCGGAAUUACUGGGCGUAAAGGGCGCGUAGGCGGAUGUUUAAGUCAGAGGUGAAAGCCCAGGGCUCAACCUUGGAACUGCCUUUGAUACUGGGCAUCUUGAGUUCGGGAGAGGUGAGUGGAACGCCGAGUGUAGAGGUGAAAUUCGUAGAUAUUCGGCAGAACACCAGUGGCGAAGGCGACUCACUGGCCCGAUACUGACGCUGAGGCGCGAAAGCGUGGGGAGCAAACAGG